rnacentral:rRNA from 1 species
AUUGAACGCUGGCGGCAGGCCUAACACAUGCAAGUCGAACGAGUGGCGGACGGGUGAGUAAUGUCUGGGAAACUGACUGAGGGAGGGGGAUAACUACGGGAAACGGUAGCUAAAACCGCAUAACAUGCGAUGUGCCCAGAUGGGAUGAGCUAGUAGGUGGGGUAAAGGCUCACCUAGGCGAAGAUCCCUAGCUGGUCUGAGAGGAUGACCAGCCACACUGGAAAUGAGACACGGGCCAGACUCCUACGGGAGGCAGCAGUGGGGAAUAUUGCACAAUGGGCGAAAGCCUGAUGCAGCCAUGCCGCGUGUAUGAAGAAGGCCUUCGGGUUGUAAAGUACUUUCAGCGGGGAGGCGUUACCCGCAGAAGAAGCACCGGCUAACUCCGUGCCAGCAGCCGCGGUAAUAC